rnacentral:rRNA from 1 species
UACGUAGGGUGCGAGCGUUGUCCGGAAUUAUUGGGCGUAAAGGGCUCGUAGGCGGUUUGUCGCGUCGGGAGUGAAAACCUCGGGCUUAACUCGGGGCUUGCUUUCGAUACGGGCAGACUGGAGGUAUGCAGGGGAGAACGGAAUUCCUGGUGUAGCGGUGAAAUGCGCAGAUAUCGAGAGGAACACCUGCGGCGAAGGCGGGUUGCUGGGCUGACACUGACGCUGAAGCGCGAAAGCGUGGGGAGCAAACAGG